rnacentral:piRNA from 1 species
UCAAAAUAUAUUUAUAAGUAACUUGGCCAUA